rnacentral:rRNA from 1 species
AGUGAACGCUGGCGGUAGGCCUAACACAUGCAAGUCGAACGGCAGCACAGUAAGAGCUCGCUCUUACGGGUGGCGAGUGGCGGACGGGUGAGGAAUACAUCGGAAUCUACUUUUUCGUGGGGGAUAACGUAGGGAAACUUACGCUAAUACCGCAUACGACCUACGGGUGAAAGCAGGGGAUCUUCGGACCUUGCGCGAUUGAAUGAGCCGAUGUCGGAUUAGCUAGUUGGCGGGGUAAAGGCCCACCAAGGCGACGAUCCGUAGCUGGUCUGAGAGGAUGAUCAGCCACACUGGAACUGAGACACGGUCCAGACUCCUACGGGAGGCAGCAGUGGGGAAUAUUGGACAACGGGCGCAAGCCUGAUCCAGCCAUACCGCGUGGGUGAAGAAGGCCUUCGGGUUGUAAAGCCCUUUUGUUGGGAAAGAAAAGCAGCAGGUUAAUACCCCGCUGUUCUGACGGUACCCAAAGAAUAAGCACCGGCUAACUUCGUG